GCAGACUUGGGCUGAUUGGCAGAGUGAAGUGCAAGUUUCUGGAUAUGUCAGCUGAUACAGACUCAAGUCGAGUUUUGCUAAGACAGACUUGUGUUUUGCUGCAGCAAGACUCAUAGUCUCGGCAGAGAAAUUCUCCUGGUGUCCCUGCUGCUCCUGGUCACCCUUGCUGACUCAUGCUGAUUUGGUGGAGGCCUGGCUGUUUCUGCUGGGCUGUGCCCCAGCUGAUGAUUCCUGUGUGCUAUCCAGACACCACUGACCUGGACUGCUGGUAUCCUGUCUAUUGGAGAUUGAAAUCGGCCCAUGGAACUACUUCUAAACAGGAAACAGCUGAGACUCCUGGCUUCUUCUGAAUCGAGCUCCUGUUGCUGAAUCUUGGGAACUGAACUGCUGAUGUCCUGACAACACAAACUGGAUUUGAUCCAAAGAACCAUUUCUAAACAGGUCUGCUUCCCCCCAUCCUAAUAACCUUUCUUUUCCACUAUUUCCUGUGGGUGGUGGACUAGAAGAGAGGUUAAACAUCUAAGAAGCCCUAUUAAAAACAGGUUUUGAAAAAUCUAA